GACGAACGCUGGCGGCGUGCUUAACACAUGCAAGUCGAACGGGCCUUGUCCCCUUUUUUUUUGGGGGUGGGGUUAGUGGCGAACGGGUGAGUAACACGUGAGUAACCUGCCCCUCACUUCUGGAUAACCGCUUGAAAGGGUGGCUAAUACGGGGUGUUCUGGCCUGCUCGCAUGGGUGGGUUUGGAAAGAUUCGACCGGUUUUGGUUGUUUUGGUGGGGGAUGGGCUCGCGGCCUAUCAGCUUGUUGGUGGGGUGAUGGCCUGCCAAGGCUUUGACGGGUAGCCGGCCUGAGAGGGUGGGCGGUCACACUGGGACUGAGACACGGCCCAGACUCCUACGGGAGGCAGCAGUGGGGAAUAUUGCACAAUGGGCGCAAGCCUGAUGCAGCGACGCCGCGUGAGGGAUGGAGGCCUUCGGGUUGUGAACCUCUUUCGCCAGUGAAGAAGGUCCUGCUCUUUGUGGUGGGGUUGACGGUAACUGGGUUAAUGAAGCGCCGGCUAACUACGU
rnacentral:rRNA from 1 species